GGACGCAAGUCUGAUGGAGCAACGCCGCGUGAGUGAAGAAGGGUUUCGGCUCGUAAAGCUCUGUUGGUAGUGAAGAAAGAUAGAGGUAGUAACUGGCCUUUAUUUGACGGUAAUUACUUAGAAAGUCACGGCUAACUACGUGCCAGCAGCCGCGGUAAUACGUAGGUGGCAAGCGUUGUCCGGAUUUAUUGGGCGUAAAGCGAGUGCAGGCGGUUCAAUAAGUCUGAUGUGAAAGCCUUCGGCUCAACCGGAGAAUUGCAUCAGAAACUGUUGAACUUGAGUGCAGAAGGGGAGAGUGGAACUCCAUGUGUAGCGGUGGAAUGCGUAGAUAUAUGGAAGAACACCAGUGGCGAAGGCGGCUCUCUGGUCUGCAACUGACGCUGAGGCUCGAAAGCAUGGGUAGCGAACAGGAUUAGAUACCCUGGUAGUCCGUGCCGUAAACGAUGAGUGCUAAGUGUUGGGAGGUUUCCGCCUCUCAGUGCUGCAGCUAACGCAUUAAGCACUCCGCCUGGGGAGUACGACCGCAAGGUUGAAACUCAAAGGAAUUGACGGGGGCCCGCACAAGCGGUGGAGCAUGUGGUUUAAUUCGAAGCAACGCGAAGAACCUUACCAGGUCUUGACAUCCAGUGCAAACCUAAGAGAUUAGGUGUUCCCUUCGGGGACGCUGAGACAGGUGGUGCAUGGCUGUCGUCAGCUCGUGUCGUGAGAU
rnacentral:rRNA from 1 species